UACGAAGGGUGCAAACGUUGCUCGGAAUUAUUGGGCGUAAAGCGCACGUAGGCGGCUUAGCAAGUCGGAAGUGAAAGCCCUCGGCUCAACCAAGGAAGUGCUUUCGAAACUGCUGAGCUUGAGUAGUUAUGAGGAUCGCGGAAUUCCCGGUGUAGAGGUGAAAUUCGUAGAUAUCGGGAGGAACACCAGUGGCGAAGGCGGCGAUCUGGGAACAUACUGACGCUGAGGUGCGAAAGCGUGGGGAGCAAACAGG
rnacentral:rRNA from 1 species